UCUGGUGUCAGCCGCCGCGGUAAAACCAGCACCUCAAGUGGUCAGGAUGAUUAUUGGGCCUAAAGCAUCCGUAGCCGGCUCUGUUAGUUUUCGGUUAAAUCUGUACGCUCAACGUACAGGCUGCCGGGAAUACUGCAGAGCUAGGGAGUGGGAGAGGUAGACGGUACUCGGUAGGAAGGGGUAAAAUCCUUUGAUCUAUUGAUGACCACCUGUGGCGAAGGCGGUCUACCAGAACACGUCCGACGGUGAGGGAUGAAAGCUGGGGGAGCAAACCGGAUUAGAUACCCGGGUAGUCCCAGCUGUAAACUAUGCAAACUCAGUGAUGCAUUGGCUUGUGGCCAAUGCAGUGCUGCAGGGAAGCCGUUAAGUUUGCCGCCUGGGAAGUACGUACGCAAGUAUGAAACUUAAAGGAAUUGGCGGGGGAGCACCACAAGGGGUGAAGCCUGCGGUUCAAUUGGAGUCAACGCCAGAAAUCUUACCCGGAGAGACAGCAGAAUGAAGGUCAAGCUGAAGACUUUACCAGACAAGCU
rnacentral:rRNA from 2 species